GAGAAGAGAGACAGAAGGAGAGAAGAGGGGCAGGAGGAGAGAAAACACAAGAAAGAGGAUGGAAGAUAAAGAGGAAGGUUUUUGAGACUAUGCAGAAGUUAUUCCAUGAGUUCCAAGCCCAGGUCAUGAAAGAUAACUUGUAAUAAAUCUGGCUACCCUGAAGCUGCCAUGCUUGAGAGACCACACGAGAUGGAGAGAGAUGCUUAGGAGUCCCAGCUGUCCAAGCCUCCAGCUAUGUGAAUCUUCCCAGCAGCAACUGCCAGACAUGUGGUACACCCAAAAUGACUUUGGGGCUACACUUGGAAUUGGCAAGGUUCCAGAAAACAGAGGGACUAUCAUCAGAGACAGCGCACAAAAAGUGGGAGAAAGGUCACCAGCCUCACUCAUGUUUAGGGCUAUUAUGAAUAAAGCUGCUAUGAACACUUGUUUACAAGUUCUUUGUGAGGACACAUGUUUUCAUUUAUCUUGGGAAAAUACCUAGAGAUGGAACUCUGGGACACAUGGUAAUAAAGUAUAUUGGCAUAAUGCAAGAGUCAAGAUGCAGAAAAUAACUACUGUGUGAUGUCUCUCUCCCAGCUUUAACCCGCCUGAAGGGCAGCACUGAGUUCAACACACUGUCCCACAAUUGUUGCACUCUCACACUGAAGUGAACAGAUUCUUUCUCCGUGCCGUGCAGCUCCCGGCAGAGGAUGAGGGAAGGGUACCAUCGGUGAUUCAGCACUGUGUUUCCUAUCCUCUUCAAUGACUCUUUCAGCGAUAUGAAGGUAAAACCAGGUGAAUGGAGCACAUGGCUAUGCUUUGUUUUAAAUGAAAGUCUUUGUCAUCCAGCGGAGGACUUUAAUUCAUUUACAUUUAUUGACAUAAAUGUUGACUUGAAAGCGUGUGUCAGAUCCCUUCACUAUAUCUUCAGACCUGCCCCAAGGAGUGAGGAAGGGCAACACCAAGAACUUCUCUCCAAGGACCAUAACCUGCGAACCCCAUCUCACCUCCUCCUGCCAGAUGGACACAGUCAUUGUCCUCCUGGCUGAUCCCAUGUCCAUGUCUUGCUCUGGCUACUUUCAUACACCCAUAAUGACAUUUUCCAUCUACUCAAUUUUUUAAAAGCUCAGCUCGAACCUCACGGAUUUUCCUGACAAUCUGCUUCUCUCAAUGGCCUUAAUUUAAGUGAGGGUUGUCAGUCUUACUGGGUCUCGUUUUUUGUCUUAAAUAAUAACUAUUUAUGGGUAUCAAGUGUCUCCUCAAUUUGGCUAUGAUCCUUCACGGCAGAAAUACUGUCUUAUCUUGUGAUCAUGGAGUCACAAGAUUUCAUGGCUAGGAAUAUUCGUCAAAUUAAUCCUAGAUUGAGGAUCAGGUAGUAUGUGGUCUGAUUCUAACUCAACAACUUGCAGAAACUCACUUCUUUUUUCUUUUUUUUUCCCCAGGAGGAGCUAUCGUAUUAACUGACGAAACUCACUUCAUUUCUUUGGACCUGCAAAAUGAGGAUGGGCUCUAAACCACCUCUAAAGUUAAUAUUCUAUGAUUCCAUGAUAAGGCUAUUUGUCAUUUAUAAAAAAAGGAACUUCCACAUAGCCCAGAGAAAGGAAAUGACUUUUUCAAGUUUACAGAGUCAAUUAAUGGACGAAAUGUAAUUUGAAAUUCAAUCUCCUGAUCCCCAGUCUAUUGGGAGUUCUUUCAGAAUGUCCCUUGACUGUCCCUCAAAGUGCCAGCAUGUAUGAAACCUUGUUAAGGAUGUAUGCUCAAUGAAAAUACACAAAUUGACUUAACAAGAAACUAAACUCUCCAGAAAGAUGCAGUUGACCCAAAACUCUGAAUAUCUUUUAUGUUUAAAACUUUCUUUUUUGAACAAAAUUGUACAGUUACUUCUCUAUUUCAACUCUUAAGCCUUUUAUGCCACGUCAAAGGUUAGCUCUCUUUUCUCUCUGUUAAUAAAGUCUUAUUCUUGACUUUGGAACUGUAUGCCAAGCUAAGGGGUCCUUUAUUGUUUAUUUAUUUUUUGAUUCUCUACUUUUGAUUCACACAUCUUUUCUACAAGAAAGACAAUUUAUAGCAGGGGCAUAUUACUUUCUUUGGGCCUCUGUGUCCUUAUCUAUAGCCAAAAGGUAUGGAAAUAAAUGUUUUCUAAAGGUCUUUCUGGCUCUAAGUUUAUUUGAUUUUUU
rnacentral:lncRNA from 1 species